GGACAGUGAUUAGAAGCGGACGUGGUCCCAGAACAUUGUGGAAUCUUUAUAAAAGUGACUGUUAGCUGUUCGAAGAAGUAGAUAUUUGGAAAGUACAUAAAAGUAUAGUGGAAAUUAGGCAGGCCCAAGUGAGAGGAAACGCAGAUUUCCUAUAUCUUUUAAAGAUAUUAGCUGCCAUCAAACCAGCUAAACUUUGAAUCUGCUGCUCGAGGCUCAGG